rnacentral:rRNA from 1 species
ACAGCCGUACCAUGCUGAAUAUACCGGUUCUCGUUCGAUCACCGAAGUUAAGCAUCAUUGGGCGCGGUCAGUACUUGGGUGGGUGACCACCUGGGAACACUGCGUGCCGUU